UACGAAGGGUGCAAGCGUUAAUCGGAAUUACUGGGCGUAAAGGGUGCGUAGGCGGUUCGUUAAGUCUGUUGUGAAAUCCCCGGGCUCAACCUGGGAAAUGGCAAUGGAUACUGGCGAGCUAGAGUGUGAUAGAGGAUGGUGGAAUUCCCGGUGUAGCGGUGAAAUGCGUAGAUAAUCGGGAGGAACACCUGGUGGCGAAGGCGGCGAUCCUGG
rnacentral:rRNA from 1 species